UUUUGUUACCGCCCCUGCCGCUUGACCGAGACUAGGCAGGGUUACCAAUCCGUCUCUCAUAUCCUGCCUUAAGGGUGGCAGGAAAUAGUAACUCCA
rfam:Synechococcus cyanophage syn9, complete genome.